rnacentral:lncRNA from 1 species
CUUUUUUUUUUUUUUUUUAACUAAUAACAAAUACACCACACACACAAUGCACAUACAACUUAUACGUGCAACAGCUGCUCUGCCUUAGAGUAGCAGGACUCCUAGGUACUCUUAGGAAGUGGAAAAGCAAUGUUCCCAAGGCUGUCAGGUAACCAAAAUAAUCUUUAUUUAAUGUAUGCUCAGUUCAACUGGUGUUUUAGCAAAAUGACUCUAGCUUUAUGCCAGCUGAAGAGAAACCAGAAAGUAAAUGAACAAGCUUUUUUUUUUUUCCAGAUAGACUUCAGUAUUUCAAAAUUUCACAGCCAUUGGAAAUCUGCUGCUGAGGUUGCACCCCUAUUACAAACCCAAACAAUUCAAACGCCACUGCUACAACUCAGUAUAACUACUGCCGUUGCAUAGCAAGCAUAUGUAUGCUUGAGCGUAUGUUUCGCCCUCUGUGAGGACAAGCAAGAAGAAAGCACGUGAUACUACAUUUUGACUACAACCAUGUCAUACCCUGGUUAUUUUUGCAGUAUAAAUGAGUUAUAUACGGAUCAAAUGCAUUUGCAUUUCAUUCACUAAUUCCACUCACAACAGCAUUCAAGCUUCCCUAUUUUUCAAUAAAAGGAAAGAAUUUGGAUACCCAGUAUAUCUAAAAAAAAUGUGAAUUGAAGUAGAAUGCAUUUGCAAAUUGCACAUUUAUUGGAUCAACUGAAACAAGGCAUUGAGCCAGAAUGUGAUCUUGUUUGCCACUAUGUAAACGAUGAAUAAGUCUGCUAGGGUCAACAGAGCAGCAGUGGAGUCACAUGAGUCACUGCACACUGCUCUUUGGAAAGAUUGCUCUGUGGCUAAAUAUACUAUUACAGUUGCUUCAAGAAAAGCUCUGCGUCAGGUUCUAAUGAAUGCUAGCACUAAUAAAGCCAAAAGGAUGAACAGGAAUUAACAAGUGGCCUUAAAAACUUAUUGAAGAGAAUGGAAGUUUUGUCUGCACAAGAAGUGAAGAAACAGAACUUUGGUAAUGAAAAUCAUGACUUAAUUUUUCCACCACCCACAUUUAACCACCUUUCAAAUGGGUUGGGGUGGGGGGAAGUAGAAAAGGAAAUGGAUUUUUUUUUUCAGGAUCAAAGUGCAGAAAAUACUAAACUCAAUAGAUCAAGUCUGCACAAGUUACCCCUCAACUAUGUGAUAACUGAGUUUGUUUCACUAU